rnacentral:rRNA from 1 species
GACGAACGCUGGCGGCGUGCCUAAUACAUGCAAGUCGAGCGGACCGGCUUGGCGCUUGCCUUGAUUCGGUCAGCGGCGGACGGGUGAGUAACACGUGGGCAACCUGCCCGCAAGACCGGUAUAACUCCGGGAAACCGGAGCUAAUACCGGAUAACACCCAAGACCGCAUGGUCUUCGGUUGAAAGGCGGCCUUUGGGCUGUCACUUGCGGAUGGGCCCGCGGCGCAUUAGGUAGUUGGUGAGGUAACGUCUCACCAAGGCGGCGAUGCGUAGCCGGCCGGGGAGGGUGGCCGGCCAGACUGGGACGGAGACACGGCCCAGAGGGCUACGGGAGGCGGCAGUAGGGCAUCGGCAGGAAGGGGGGGAAGCCUGACGGAGCGGGGCCGAGUGAGGGAGGAAGGCCGUCGGGUGGGAAAGGUCGGUUGUGAGGGAGGAAGGAGCGUUGUUCGAAGAGGGCGGCGCGGUGACGGUACCUGACGAGAAAGCCCCGGCUAACUACGUG